CCUCCUCCCGUGCCAAGGUGGGCUUAAAAAAAUCCGUGAUCAGAGCUUGUCUACCUCGAUCGGGAGGCCAGCCCCCUUUUGGGUCAUGACUGGCAUCAAGUGACCUUAGUCGCCUCCCCAGAGUUUCUCUCCCCUCCCAUUCUUUUCCCAGAAGAUGUCCCUCAGAAGGAAGGAAAUAUCCUCAUCAACUCCUUCAGAAUUAAAGAUGUCUUCAUAAAAAACAGCAACCUCCUUGUAGAUUUUUCCUCCGAAUUAGUCCGUUAUCCAUUCUAUUUCUUCAGUCUUAGAAUACGAUUAUGCUUUCUCCGCUGAAGGGUAGAUGCAUGAAAGAAAGUGGUAUUUUGGUCACCUCCAUUAAGUCAAGCCAUGCGCGAUUUCUGACCAAAAACUCCUCCUCGCAGGCAAGGGCAGUAUCCAACUCUCAAGCAAUUUCGUUUUCCAGAACUUGGGUGUUUGAUCCUGGAGGUUUCCAGAGCAUCCCUGCAAGAAGCUAACUUGAUGUGGAGAAGAGCGACUGGAGGAGCCAGGUGAUUCUCUGACCAAGAGGAUUCUACAACUGAAGAGCAAGGUGGGUCAUGAAGCCACAUAGACUGGAAUCUAAAGGGGCGAGGGCCGCUACUAACCUUUGCAUCGGCAUCCAAGACAAGGGGGGAAUGGUCAGUGCCAAUGGCAGCACACACGAAGACUGCCGCUUCAGGGAAUUGGCGAUUCCAGGGGAUAUUAGAGAAGGAUCUGUCGAGCCUAAUUCAAAUAUUAGCAAGGCCGAAACGCUUGUUAAUCCAAGUAAAAACAAGUCCCUGGGACCCUAAAUUAGAGAGGGAGCAAGUGUCGACCAUAUUUCAGAAUCGGGCAAUAUCCCUACCCCCUUUGCAGUUACCUCCGGCUUUCUCCCGCCAGUCCAAAAGGGAAUUAAAGUCCCCCAUAUAGAUCCAACCAUUAGAUCUGGAUUGGCUUAAUUGUAUCAGGACGUCCCAACCUUUUGACUUGACGCUGAGAUGCAACUGGGUCGCCACAAACACAUAAAAGGUGGAAAAGAUCAACAUGGGGCGCCGAAAUCCAGUAAUCAAUGAUAUGCUUAUCAGAGAACCUAACAUCGACAGAGCCAACUGGGUUAACCGUAAAGAAAUUUGUCAUUUGAAGAUGACGCUGAAGCUUUGAAAUUGGCCUGCUAUUAGCUCUGGUCUCCAUAAGGAAAACGAAAUCCAAGGCUUCACUCUUAGAGAGAUUUUUAAGUGCCUGAACUGUCAGGGGUCUCCCCAGUCCCCUGCAGUUCCAGCUUAGUAGCUUCAUCUUUGCCUGUGGAGCUGGCCCGCAGCCUCCACGGGGACCAUCGCUAAAAAAUGUUCCUCCAUAUCUUCGUUUUCUGAUUGAGCCGAUUGAGAUGAGCCUGUAUAGCGUCUUCUUCUCUUCGCUCUUAGUCAUCUUUUACUGUAAUUCUAAAGAUUGGGUUUUCUGAAAUUAAGCUUGAGUUCAUCUUUUUCUUGAAUUUCAGAGAUUGGAUCUUCUGAAAUUACGCUUUGUACACCUUUAUUUGUAUUAAGGCCACCCCUGCAUCGGUGCUUAUAGGAACGGGACUCUUGUUA